rnacentral:pre_miRNA from 1 species
AUUAAGUGUAUUUUUGCACAGUUUAUGUUUAACAUUUGAUCAUCCAUGUCUUAUUUUAAAAAUUAAUGAUUAGUAUUUUUAUCGUUAUUAGAUGAUAAAAUAUGAAUAAAACUUAAUAUAUGACUAUUUUUAAUAUUUUCUAUUAAAUUUUUUAAAUAAGACGAACCAUCAAACUUGGACACAAAAAUCUAUAAAUAUAUUUAUA